rfam:Cavia porcellus supercont2_32 genomic scaffold, whole genome shotgun sequence.
GGGAUUAGCUCAGUGGCACAGCACCUGCCUGGCAAGUAUGAGGUUCUGAGUUCGAUUCCCGGUAUUCCCC